GGACUACCCGGGUUUCUAAUCCUGUUUGAUCCCCACGCUUUCGUGCCUCAGCGUCAAUAUAUGCGUAGUUUGCUGCCUUCGCAAUAGGUGUUCUAUGUCAUAUCUAAGCAUUUCACCGCUACAUGACAUAUUCCGCAAACCUCCACAAUAUUCAAGACAGAUAGUAUCAAUGGCAGUUUUCGGGUUAAGCCCAAAGAUUUCACCACUGACUUACCUGCCCGCCUACGCACCCUUUAAACCCAGUGAAUCCGGAUAACGCUUGCACCCUCCGUAUUACCGCGGCUGCUGGCAC
rnacentral:rRNA from 1 species